CUACGGGUUGCUCCAGUGGGGAAUAUUGGGCAAUGGGCGCAAGCCUGACCCAGCAACGCCGCGUGAGGGAAGAAGGUUUUCGGAUUGUAAACCUCUGUCCUUGGGGACGAAGAAGUGACGGUACCCAAGGAGGAGGCUCCGGCUAACUACGUGCCAGCAGCCGCGGUAAUACGUAGGGAGCAAGCGUUGUCCGGAAUUACUGGGCGUAAAGGGUGCGUAGGCGGCAUAUUAAGUCAGGUGUGAAAUACUCGGGCUCAACCCGGGGGCUGCAUUUGAAACUGAUAUGCUUGAGUGUGGGAGAGGAAAGUGGAAUUCCUAGUGUAGCGGUGGAAUGCGUAGAUAUUAGGAGGAACACCAGUGGCGAAGGCGACUUUCUGGCUCAUAACUGACGCUGAGGCACGAAAGCGUGGGGAGCAAACAGGAUUAGAUACCCUUGUAGUC
rnacentral:rRNA from 1 species